rnacentral:rRNA from 1 species
AGAGUUUGAUCAUGGCUCAGGAUGAACGUUGGCGGCGUGGAUUAGGCAUGCAAGUCGAGCGAGAACCCCGCAAGGGGGGACAGCGGCGCAAGGGACAGUAAUGUGUAGAUCAUCUGCCCUCAGGCCCGGGAUAGCUGCGGGAAACUGCAGGUAAUACCGGAUAACAUCUCCGGAUCAAAGGUGUGAUUCCGCCUGAGGAUGAGUCUGCAUCCUAUUAGCUAGUUGGCAGGGUAACGGCCUACCAAGGCUUUGAUGGGUAGCGGGUGUGAGAGCACGACCCGCGUCAUUGGGACUGAGACACUGCCCAGACACCUACGGGUGGCUGCAGUCGAGAAUCUUCGGCAAUGGGCGCAAGCCUGACCGAGCGACGCCGCGUGUGGGAUGAAGGCCUUCGGGUUGUAAACCACUGUCAGAGGGGAUGAAAUGCAGGUGGGUUCUCCCAUCUGUUUGACAUAGCCUCAGAGGAAGGACGGGCUAAGUUCGUGCCAGCAGCCGCGGUAAGACGAACCGUCCGAACGUUAUUCGGAAUCACUGGGCUUAAAGGGUGCGUAGGCGGCGCGGAAAGUUGGGUGUGAAAUCCCUCGGCUCAACCGAGGAACUGCGCCCAAAACUACCGUGCUCGAGGGAGAUAGAGGUGAGCGGAACUUAGGGUGGAGCGGUGAAAUGCGUUGAUAUCCUAAGGAACACCGGUGGCGAAAGCGGCUCACUGGAUCUCUUCUGACGCUGAGGCACGAAAGCUAGGGUAGCGAACGGGAUUAGAUACCCCAGUAGUCC